GACCUAAACCAUCCGUAAGGUUGGCAUGGUUGCCUAAUCCAUACAGAACAAACAGCUCGUCGUCAGAGCACUGUUCUGUAUGGUCAUAGUCCGAAAGGAUUAUGGGUGGCCUUCGGGUCAUC
rnacentral:sRNA from 12 species